rnacentral:lncRNA from 1 species
UGUGGUGCGCGUGGACAGCGGGCCCAUGAGCGAGGGGCUCUGGGCUGCCUUGGCUGCCUCCGUGUCCAUGCGCGGCGUUGCCAUGAUGCCCACCUCGUCCUCAAAGCCGCUGUUUGUGCGUUGGGUAGGCGUUGACUGCCGCUCCGGCAGCUCUGCACGGCACACAUGUCAUAGGUCAGGGGCAGAACAAGUACAUACAGUAUCAGUCCGAGGGUCAAAUAGGUGCGGCCCUGCAAAGAGCAAGUGGUGUAAGGGGCAGCAACAUCUUUGCCCAAGCGAGGCAUGCGCUUACGUGCCUGACCUUCCUAUCAGGUGCCUUCAUAUGCAGCAGGUCAAGCUGGCACCGUAAGGGCCAAUGGAAUACAUAUCGGCAAAACCAUCAAAAUGCACAACAUAAUUAAGCUGGACUUAUGCCCGACACACAUUGAGUUACAAGAACAAGCAGCAAGCUGGAGACAUUGGACAUAUGCAAGACUCGGGACAUAUGCAAAAAGGUGAAUAUGCUGACCUGUGACAAUAUUGUCGGAGGAUUCCAGGUCAGCGGAAGCGACGCUGACAGGUGAGCUGGCGUCCACGCUGGCAUGCCGGUCGAUGGUCUGCGGGGGAGUUGUCACGUGCGAGGGGUCUGUUGCCGUCAGGCCAUGCUUCGGGGACUGCUGAGGUGUGACCUCUGACGCUGCUGCAGAUGUGCUGGCUUCGUGAGCUGUAGAUACCUGCUGCUCUGCUGAGGGGACUGCACUGCUGCUAGGCUGUUCCAGUGCCUGAGGAGUCACCUGCAUCAAACAUGAGGCAAUUUUGGUCUUGUAUCAACGAACAUUUCUUGUGCAUUCUAACGUAUUAAAUUCCAUGCAGGAAAGAAAGUUCACAAGAGAGAAACGUUCAAUGUAUGCAGGGACUUGCAAAUGCACGUCACCUGGGCCUUGCUUAGGGGUCACAUGACACUGGUGCAAAAGAGGCACACAAUGUGGACAGGUCAGCUUACCCUGUGCUCAAUGUGGGGUACACUGGUGGAUUGUUCAGGGCCUUCGCGCUCCCUCAGAGACGGCUGGCUGGGCAGGGCACGAGCCUCGUGCAGCACGGGUGUGGGCACAUGGUAUGCUGCGCUGGAUCCGCUCGGACCUGGCCAGUCGAACACAUUGCAUAAGAACUCCUAAAUACGAAUCAUUCAGUACAUUGUCAUUGGCGAUGCUGCCACAGAAUCAUCAAGAGCGUAGCAAAUACUCAAGAGCGUAGCAAAUACUCAUAAACACCCAUUGUGGAGGUGUGGACAUGCAUUAACACUGUUCAGAGCUUCUGGGGCUGCUGGGUGAUGCAAUCUGCUGCAUGAAGCUUGCACCAUAGCCACACGGUAAAUUGCAAAGGGACAGGCUGCCAAGGCGCAGGUGCACAAAUGGUACCCGGAGCAUCUGGGGCAUUGAGUCAUGUGUACACACCUGCAGCGUCUGGGUUGCUGGGCCCUGCUUCGCUGUAGCUAG